GAUGAACGCUGGCGGCGUGCCUAAUACAUGCAAGUCGAGCGAAGCGGCGGAUGGGGGAGUAACGCGUGGGUCACCUGCCCUUAAGUCUGGGAUACCAUUUGGAAACAGAUGCUAUUGCCGGAUCCUUACGGAUGGGCCUGGGUUGCAUUAGCUAGUUGGUAAGGUAACGGCUUACCAAGGCGAUGAUGCAGAGACGAGUUGAGAGAAUGAUCGGCCACAUUGGGACUGAGACACGGCCCAAACUCCUACGGGAGGCAGCAGUAGGGAAUCUUCCACAAUGGACGAAAGUCUGAUGGAGCAACGCCGCGUGAGUGAAGAAGGUUUGCGGAUCGUAAAGCUCUGUUGUUGGUGAAGCGGUAAUCAACCAGAAAGUCACGGCUAACUACGUGCCAGCAGCCGCGGUAAUUC
rnacentral:rRNA from 1 species